ACGGGCGUAGCUCAGCUGGUAGAGCGGCGGUCUCCAAAACCGUAGGUCGUGAGUUCGAAUCUUACCGCCCGUGCUA
rnacentral:tRNA from 1 species